rnacentral:rRNA from 1 species
CUGUGAGGUAUGCUGGAGGUAUCAGAAGUGCGAAUGCUGACAUAAGUAACGAUAAAGCGGGUGAAAAGCCCGCUCGCCGGAAGACCAAGGGUUCCUGUCCAACGUUAAUCGGGGCAGGGUGAGUCGACCCCUAAGGCGAGGCCGAAAGGCGUAGUCGAUGGGAAACAGGUUAAUAUUCCUGUACUUGGUGUUACUGCGAAGGGGGGACGGAGAAGGCUAUGUUGGCCGGGCGACGGUUGUCCCGGUUUAAGCGUGUAGGCUGGUUUUCCAGGCAAAUCCGGAAAAUCAAGGCUGAGGCGUGAUGACGAGGCACUACGGUGCUGAAGCAACAAAUGCCCUGCUUCCAGGAAAAGCCUCUAAGCAUCAGGUAACAUCAAAUCGUACCCCAAACCGACACAGGUGGUCAGGUAGAGAAUACCAAGGCGCUUGAGAGAACUCGGGUGAAGGAACUAGGCAAAAUGGUGCCGUAACUUCGGGAGAAGGCACGCUGAUAUGUAGGUGAAGCGACUUGCUCGUGGAGCUGAAAUCAGUCGAAGAUACCAGCUGGCUGCAACUGUUUAUUAAAAACACAGCACUGUGCAAACACGAAAGUGGACGUAUACGGUGUGACGCCUGCCCGGUGCCGGAAGGUUAAUUGAUGGGGUCAGCGCAAGCGAAGCUCUUGAUCGAAGCCCCGGUAAACGGCGGCCGUAACUAUAACGGUCCUAAGGUAGCGAAAUUCCUUGUCGGGUAAGUUCCGACCUGCACGAAUGGCGUAAUGAUGGCCAGGCUGUCUCCACCCGAGACUCAGUGAAAUUGAACUCGCUGUGAAGAUGCAGUGUACCCGCGGCAAGACGGAAAGACCCCGUGAACCUUUACUAUAGCUUGACACUGAACAUUGAGCCUUGAUGUGUAGGAUAGGUGGGAGGCUUUGAAGUGUGGACGCCAGUCUGCAUGGAGCCGACCUUGAAAUACCACCCUUUAAUGUUUGAUGUUCUAACGUUGACCCGUAAUCCGGGUUGCGGACAGUGUCUGGUGGGUAGUUUGACUGGGGCGGUCUCCUCCUAAAGAGUAACGGAGGAGCACGAAGGUUGGCUAAUCCUGGUCGGACAUCAGGAGGUUAGUGCAAUGGCAUAAGCCAGCUUGACUGCGAGCGUGACGGCGCGAGCAGGUGCGAAAGCAGGUCAUAGUGAUCCGGUGGUUCUGAAUGGAAGGGCCAUCGCUCAACGGAUAAAAGGUACUCCGGGGAUAACAGGCUGAUACCGCCCAAGAGUUCAUAUCGACGGCGGUGUUUGGCACCUCGAUGUCGGCUCAUCACAUCCUGGGGCUGAAGUAGGUCCCAAGGGUAUGGCUGUUCGCCAUUUAAAGUGGUACGCGAGCUGGGUUUAGAACGUCGUGAGACAGUUCGGUCCCUAUCUGCCGUGGGCGCUGGAGAACUGAGGGGGGCUGCUCCUAGUACGAGAGGACCGGAGUGGACGCAUCACUGGUGUUCGGGUUGUCAUGCCAAUGGCACUGCCCGGUAGCUAAAUGCGGAAGAGAUAAGUGCUGAAAGCAUCUAAGCACGAAACUUGCCCCGAGAUGAGUUCUCCCUGACCCUUUAAGGGUCCUGAAGGAACGUUGAAGACGACGACGUUGAUAGGCCGGGUGUGUAAGCGCAGCGAUGCGUUGAGCUAACCGGUACUAAUGAACCGUGAGGCUUAACCUU